rnacentral:misc_RNA from 1 species
UUGCAGCCCGGCUUGAGUGGAGCUCUUUUUAUGUGUAACGAAGUGGAACAUAAAAAAGCGGGAACGGAAGACGGAUAAAGC